UCUUAAAGACAUGGUGGUUUUUCAAGUUUUAUAAAGCAGAUAAUAAAUAAUGUCUUUUUGAUAUAAACCCUCCCUAUAGCAUUCACAAAGAACAUAUUUCACAUAAACAAUACUAAAAUAUACUAGCUAUCAAGUAUAUACUCUUAGGAAGUUCUAAAAUUAACUUCUUAUAAUUGGUUUUAUAAAUGUCUUUUAAACAUGACAAGCCCAUGUUAAUAGAAUUUCCUCAAAGACUAGAAAAAUGGCUACAGUAACUACCUAAUAAACAGUAUGUACAUAAGCUACGUAAGUCCUAGAACUAGGGUCAUUUUUAAUGCCACCUUAAAGAACAGGGAAAGUGUUAAUGCUCAAGUUUUUCGAUAAGAGCUAAUUACUGCAAGUUGUGCAGAAUAGGAACACUGCCUAAAAUUAGAGUACUCACAGAAUUUAAGAGCUUUCCUACAAUUCACUAAAAUACUUUCUUUUAAACUGCUCAAGACAAAUGUGUAUGGUUUUCAGAAUAAAACUAUGAAACUAAAAUUUUUGGUUUCAUUACACAGAAAACAAAGUAAUUUUAGUAAAACAAAAGCCACAGGAAGGAAGCAGACUUUUCGUACCUAUUGGAUUUGAAGGAAGAGAAUCAUCUUUUAGAUUUUCGUCCCAUUCACGGAGCUGUUUCUUAAUUCUAUCCAUUAAAGUUUCCUUGUUUAAAGUAAAAGCAGCCAUAAUAAGGUUCACAGACUUUUUACAAUUUACUGCCAGAUUUUCAGCUAGAGUUUCAAUGUAAGUUCUCACUCUAUGUACUAAAAUCCAAGUCCCGGUUUCAACUCUGUUGUCUCGCGCACAGAUGGUCAUGGCCCCGGCUCCUCCACCCGGCACUAAGGUGGCCUUCCAGGCUUCUGUCCUGCACUGUCUUUGUAGUGGCACGUGCUCCUGACCUGCUACCUUCUAGGUGUUUUCUUACGAACUGUGUGCAAUUGGCCUCUCCCCCCUUUUUCUAGGAAGGGUUUCCUGACUCUGUCCACAGGGAUAGCGGCCCCUAUAAAUUACAGGAGCACUUGCUAUUUACACCUUACUUGGCACCCAUUUAGUACACAAGAGUGCUUCCUGUCUUUUCACAGAUGUCUGCAAGAAACACUUGUCUGUUGUGCAUUUGUAAUGGCCCAAAGUGCUGAAGGGCAGAGUGAACUGUAGUUUGCUGUUGUGCUUGUGAGAAGUGCUCAAAUUUCAGUAUUUACCCUUCCUAAGAUUCCAAGUCUUAGGUGAGGGGGUUCACUAAGGGAAAUGACUAACAUUUGUUGAAUGCCUACUGUGUGCCAAAUAACUAUCACUCUCCCCAUUUUAAAAACUGAAUUUAUUGAGAUAGGUAAUGGUUUGCCUCAAACCAUAUGGAAAAUGAUAGAAAUCAAGCUUUUAAAAGUCUUUGUGUCUAAAACCCAGAUUCUUUGAACACUUCCAGUCUGCCUCUUACUAAGUCUUGCAAGGUAUGGUGAUGCCUAAGUACGACAAUUUGAGGAGAAAGAACACUGGUGGAUGCAGUAGACUAACUGGGGUCAGGAGACCUAAGUUCAUCUACUUGUUUAGGAAAAACAACAAAACACUGUUAUGGGAUUCUUUAAUUUUCGAAACCUACCUACCACUUAACACAUUUCAAAUCCUUAAUAGACCCUAAAACAUCUCAUUACCUUAUCCUGAAUUUAUAAGCCACUAGAAACUGGGAAAACGAAAAAUUCUAAAAAGGGGAAGUAAAUCCAGCAGAAUUUGAUUCCUUCGCAUUCUAAUUAAAUGUAAAGAAGGGCAUUAGUUCUGAAAAUGAGAUACCACUGAGUAUGAAAGUCCAUGUUUCAUUCUAAUGACCCUUUAUUAUGACAAGGCUUACCCUAGAGAUAAAAAAGUACAAGGUAAUACUUACAGCAUCAUAUAAGGAAUACAGCCAGCGAGGCCAUGAAGUCAAAUUUGCACAAUGAAACUUUCUCUGAAAACAGAAAAAAAGUCACUUAAACUCUAUAUAGAUUCUUAUGGUGGAAAGAACAGUAUUUGAAAACUGAUUUUGGCCCUGGAAAAUAUGUUCUAAAUUCAAAAAUAGGGAAAAAUUUUGUAGAUAACCCUAUUAACAGAUGAUUCAUUACCUACUAAAUGUGACAAUCAUGGUUUUACAGCUUUCAAUUUGUACUGCAAGUAGAAUCCUCAUUCUUACUGGGAUGGUUUAACAUUUUAAUGCUGAGGAUAACUUAGUGAAGUUAUGGUGAACUUGAAGAGUGACUAAACAUAGUUAUGUUACAGCAUAACAUAUCACAUUAUAUGCCUAUUAAUCAUUUGUUCAGUAUAUGCACAGGGAAACUAAAAAUAUAAUCCAAAUUGUCUUUGUGUAAAACUUUAAAUGGCUUUAAAGUGAAUUACUGUAGAGGCACAUAUAAUAAAUGAGUCCAUUCUAAGAAAAAAAAUGAUCAUAACUUGAGAGUCCAGGAUGAAGUCCCCCAUUUCAUAGAACUCCGGGAAAGGGAAAAACCACUGGGUAGCUCUUCCAAUUGUAUUUUAGAAUCCAAAUGCAAGCAUGCCUAAAUCCAUAGAAAAAUGUGAGUUAAAUUCCAGUAGAAUUUCUGUUUUUGAUGGGAAGACUCAAUAAUUAAAAUGUGAGUCCUCAAAGCACAUAUUCAGCGUAAUAAUACCAAUGAGAUUGGAAUUUAGAAGCAUAACUUAAAGUUCACCUGGAAGAAGAAGUGUGUAAGAACUCCCAAAAAAGUUUGGGAAGAGAAGUAUUCUACAGGACACAAAAAUAUGAUUGGGAAUGCACUAUAGCAGUGCUAUUAAUAGGAACAAAUUGUAAACAACCUAAAUGUCAACGAACAAUGAGUACAUUAGAGUAUGUAAUACACUAGGGGAUACUUUGCACCUGAUCAAACAAGGCAUAUCAAACCUACAGAGCAUAAAGAAUGAUUACAUCUUCCUCAAUAAAGAAAACAAAACCUAUGUAAGUACAGACAUUCAUAAUUUUGUAAACUUAACGUGGGGCAUGACACAUGAAAAGUGGGUGGGAAAGGAGUAAGGUGGCUCAAAAAGCACUGUCCCAGAAUAGAACAAGAAAAGCAAGCUGUAAGAUUUAACAGAAUGAAAGGGAAAUCCUGUGCUUGCACCUGCAUGACCAAACGAAUGGGCAUGAAAUGAGGAAACAUGGGUACACCACACAUGUGAAAAAGACUUGGGGGACUCAGCUGAUAGAUGAACUAACCAAUGUGCUGCAGAGCUCACAUCCUACUCUCCCUGCAAUCUUAUGCUAGAAGAUGUCCAGAAUCUAAGAAGAGACAAUAAUGUUACCCUUCUGUGACAGACAGAACUUUAAUUGUCAGGGGCAAGGAUGCUAAGAGGAGGUCAACAGUUUGCAUUAGGGAUGUUUAGUUUGGAGCUGCCUCUCAAGGGGACGUGGUAAUUUCUUUUAAAUACUUUAGGGAACUACUACGUGGGUGAGGAUGGACUUGUUUCUCAAGGCUCAUCCACUAAAGCUCAAACUCAAACCAAUGGAUUCUUUAAUGAGAGGAAGUUUCGGCUCAAUCUCAUCUUUCUUAUAUUUGAAUCUACCAAAAGACAGGUCUGGGAUGGCCUCCAAGUACAUGUUCAAAAAGUGAUUUAAGCCAGAGGAGCCAGAUUGUAAGGCACUUAAGUUACUCUCCAAUCAGUUCUUUACUUUUAAGACCAAAAACUAAGGCUAAAGAAUUUUGUCACACUCCAAAUAAAUGCUACAGAAUAAGCACACAGAAUAAAGAACAACAGCCUUUCAAGUAACUGUGAAUAUGUAGUAAUAGCAAUGGCAACCACUUUAUUGGUCUUAAAAUAAAAAUAAUUCUUUAAGGUUGGUAGUAUUAUCAUCCCCAUCUGAAAAAGAAGGAAACAGGCAAAGAAGGAUGGUAAAACUUGCCCAAAGUCACAGUAAAUGGGGAGCUGCUAGGCUGUGCAUCCAGGGAGUCUGACUGUAACCAUUAUUCAUUCAAGAAAUAUUCUGAGCACCCAGUACGUAGGUGUCAGGCAUUAUCUUUACACACUGGGAGUAUACAUACCAGUGACUAAAACAAAAAAAGGCCAAAAUCAUUGGAGCAUACAUUUUCUUGCAGAGCAGCUUACUUUCUAGCAGUAUACUUAGAAUUACAAAGUGACAAAAAUCCAACAAAGCUUCGGUCUGGCAGACUGACACACUACACACUCCCAAUUCAGUUAUUAGUAUAUACUUUACACAUCAGAAUGAUCAUUUUUAUAUUACAAAAGCAUAGCAUUUUACUUGGCAUCCAUGUCAAGAUAAAGAGAAACCAAAGUAAUUUAUUCAUAUUGUAAACAUGACUUCCCACUGUAACAGAGAACAGAAUGUGGCACACUAGUGUAUUAAGAGCAAUGCAGCGGGUCAGGAUCCUUACCAUUCGCCCGCCACCCUGCAUCCUUUGUGAAUGUGAACACACUGCAACUCAUGCGCCCCAGUUCUGUAACUUUUUAAAGUGAGAACAUCAAUAAAAUUCUUUUUCAGGGUUA